AAAAAAUGUCUGGCAUAUAUGAAUUGGAAGUUUCUUCAGUUUUUUUGGAGCAAUAUGAAUUGAAAGAUAAAAACUUAAAGAUCAAGAACUGGGUUAAUAAUUUUGGCACACCCUUGUGCAGAACUAUGAACGAAUCAGUGGAACAAAGGCUUCUGAGAUCAGAAGAACAAGACUCUGCUAAUUUGACAAGCAGGAUUUGGACUGAGUCUAAGAAGAUAUGGAGGGUUGCCUUCCCUGGAAUGGUGGCUAGAGUGACUUCUUUCGGAAUCAUAGUAGUGACUCAGUUAUUUCUUGGUCACAUCGGCGAGUUGCAGCUAGCUGCUUAUGCAAUUGAACAAACCUUCUUCGUGCGAUUUGUUAUGGGGAUACUGAUUGGCAUGUCAAGCGCAACUGAAACAUUAUGCGGACAAGCAUUUGGAGCUGCACAAUACCACAUGUUGGGAAUAUAUUUGCAGCGAUCAUGGAUCGUUGAUCAUACUCUUACGACGAUAUUGCUCCCUCUCUUCAUCUUCGCCACACCAAUUUUGAAACUAAUUGGUCAGGAGGAGGAUAUAGCAACAGCAGCUGGAAAAAUCUCUCUAUGGUUCAUUCCUUUCCUCUACUACUUUGUGUUUGGCUUGACAAUGCAAAUGUACUUGCAAUCCCAGAUGAAGAACCGUAUUAUUGGAUGGUUUUCUGCUAUUUCCUUCGUGAUUCAUGUGUUUUUGAGCUGGUUUUUUGUGAUCAAACUUGACUGGGGGAUCAAUGGAGCAAUGGGUGCGUUGAACAUUUCUGCUUGGUUAAUUGUCAUUGGAGAAUUUGCGUACAUUUUCGGAGGGUGGUGCCCUAACACUUGGAAAGGGUUUACCACGGCUGCCUUUUCCGAUCUCCUUCCCGUCGUCAAGCUCUCAAUUUCCUCCGGUUUCAUGCUUUGCUUAGAACUUUGGUACAAUUCUAUUCUAGUACUUGUGGCUGGAUAUAUGAAAAACGCAGCCGUUGCAAUAUCAGCUUUCUCCAUUUGCCUUAAUGUCAGUGCGUGGCAAUUUAUGAUCUGCCUUGCAUUCUUAGCAGCUGCAAGCGUGCGUGUAUCGAAUGAAUUGGGGAGGGGAGAUGCGAAGGCUGCAAAAUUUGCCAUUAAAGUCGUUCUUUUCACUUCAAUAUGUAUUGGAGUGGUAUUCUGGAUUUUGGCGUUAAUCUUCGGUCGAGAAAUUUCAUAUAUUUUCACAGAGAGUGAGGAAGUUGCAGAUACUGUUUCAGACCUCUCCGUUCCACUUUCAUUCACAUUGUUAUUCAACAGCAUUCAGCCAGUACUCUCCGGAAUAACUGUAGGUUCCGGUCAACAAAGUAUUGUUGCAUAUAUUAACUUGGGAAGCUAUUAUGGCGUUGGGAUACCCUUAGGAGUUGUGCUUGGAUACGUCGCUCAUCUUCAAGUCAAGGGUUUGUGGAUUGGAAUGCUGUGUGGAGUACUAACGCAGACAAUUAUCUUAUCUUGCCUCAUAUGGAAGACUAAUUGGGAUGAGCAGGUAAAGAAGGCAUCACAACGUCUCAACCAUUUAUUUUUGAAUCCAUCAAAAUCUGAAGGUAGUUCAUCUAAUUCUUAAUAUAAAAUUUAUUUGAAGGAACAUUGUUUAAAAUAUGUGUUGGAAAGAAUAUGAACUUUCCUUAAACAACUAUUUUUAUCUUUGUUUUUUUGAGAACAACAACUAUUUUUAUCGUAUAUGCCCUCG
rnacentral:misc_RNA from 1 species